UACGGAGGGGGCUAGCGUUGUUCGGAAUUACUGGGCGUAAAGCGCACGUAGGCGGCUUUGUAAGUUAGAGGUGAAAGCCCAGGGCUCAACCCUGGAAUUGCCUUUAAGACUGCAUCGCUAGAAUUGUGGAGAGGUAAGUGGAAUUCCGAGUGUAGAGGUGAAAUUCGUAGAUAUUCGGAGGAACACCAGUGGCGAAGGCGGCUCACUGGUCCAUUACUGACGCUGAGGUGCGAAAGCGUGGGGAGCAAACAGG
rnacentral:rRNA from 1 species